rnacentral:lncRNA from 1 species
UUAGUGGAGGGCCGUCACUUGAGUAUGGGAAGUCAUCAGGGAUCGGUUCGUCGGUAAAGGAGGGACCUAAGAUGAACCGAGAAGGGUCUGAUAGAACAAACUGCCUAAGUAUGGUGUAAUCUAAUGACGGAGUAGAAGGAAGAGGUGGAAGCGGCGCCAUUGUUAAAAUGAAGAAAGAUAGCGAAAAAAAAGCCCUAAGAGUCGAGGGUGAAAAGGGGGAAAAGAAGACGAAGAAGCAGAGAAAAUGAGGAUUCAGGCCAAAGAAAAGGAAAAGCAAAGAGAACGAAGUUGAGCCAGAGAAAAGAAAAGUGGAAGCUUGGCGAAGAAGAAAGAGAAGCCGUCGCGCCGAAUCGAUUUCCGAGACUGGCUAUAAUGAUGAAGAGACGGCGGCAAUUAAUAUGACCUAAUUAAUGCCGCAAAUAAGACAAAAAGGAAUGUUGAGAUCGUAGCCGUAGAGAGGAAAAGAACGGCUGGAAAGGAACCGUACAAAGAAUUCGAAUUGACAGUAUCGAAAGAUGCGCCUUUGAUUACGCCAGCUACCGAAGCGUCUAUUCGGAAGCUGCCGAGGAGGCAAAUUGUUA